UACAGGGGGGGCAAGCGUUGUCCGGAAUUACUGGGCGUACAGCGCGCGCAGGCGGUUCUUCACGUGCCGUGUGACAGACGUCGGCUUAACCGACGUAGGCCAGGGUACACGGAAGAACUGGAGGCAGAGAGAGGGAUGUGGAAUACCCGGUGGAGCGGUGAAAUGCGUAGAGAUCGGGUGGAACACCAGGGGCGAAGGCGGCAUCCUGGCUCUGUUCUGACGCUGAGGCGCGAGAGCGUGGGGAGCAAACCGG
rnacentral:rRNA from 1 species